rnacentral:rRNA from 1 species
UGGGUUGAUAGGCCGGAGGUGGAAGCACAGCAAUGUGUGUAGCCGACCGGUACUAAUAGGCCGAGGGCUUGUUACCUACA